rnacentral:rRNA from 1 species
GAUGAACGCUGGCGGCGUGCCUAAUACAUGCAAGUCGAGCGAACAGACGAGGAGCUUGCUCCUCUGACGUUAGCGGCGGACGGGUGAGUAACACGUGGAUAACCUACCUAUAAGACUGGGAUAACUUCGGGAAACCGGAGCUAAUACCGGAUAAUAUAUUGAACCGCAUGGUUCAAUAGUGAAAGACGGUUUUGCUGUCACUUAUAGAUGGAUCCGCGCCGCAUUAGCUAGUUGGUAAGGUAACGGCUUACCAAGGCAACGAUGCGUAGCCGACCUGAGAGGAUGAUCGGCCACACUGGAACUGAGACACGGUCCAGACUCCUACGGGAGGCAGCAGUAGGGAAUCUUCCGCAAUGGGCGAAAGCCUGACGGAGCCACGCCGCGUGAGUGAUGAAGGUCUUCGGAUCGUAAAACUCUGUUAUUAGGGAAGAACAAAUGUGUAAGUAACUAUGCACGUCUUGACGGUACCUAAUCAGAAAGCCACGGCUAACUACGUG